CCACACAACUGUCGAGUUCAACAUAUUAGACACAGUUUGUUUGUGUUCAUCGUACGUGACUAUUCAUCGCAACACAGCAGUAGCCAUUCACAUUGAUAGCAGCAACUAGAAACACCAACAGCGACAUCUAGGACGACUAGUACUUGGAAUCAAGCGACGUUCACACAGUGCUUUGUAGGUUUAUUCUGGUUAUACAUAUAUAUAUAUGCUACCAAUUUAUACUGAUCAAUUUCUUCUUUAUCGAAAUCUAAAUCUUCUCGAUUAUUUGAAGAGAGAUUCAAAGAUAAUAUGUUGUAUUUGAAAGCUUUUUAUCUGAACAAUUGUUCUCACGUUCAAGGCGCCAACUAAAGUGUUCAAAAUUAUCUGUUUUCGUCUGGCACCUGCUACACUACGACCGCACUUUAUAGUCUACAGAUUUUUCAAUGGCCAGAGAAACACCGUUUUAUAAACAUCAAUACAUCCACGUCAAACUAUCACUGUAUCAUUCAACAAUAAAGACAUUCCAUUCAUUUGCCUUUCACAUUUAUAGAAACCCAAUAAAGUUGUGUUGUCAUCAAAGACA